CAGUAUUAUCAAAACUCAUUUGCUACCUAUAUUAGAUUGUGAAAUAUUGCAGACAGGUUACGAUAAGGAUAGUGCCUCAAAUAAACUCUCAUUCCAAGCACAAGUAUUCGGAGACGCAAUACAGAAUUUCCAUCAACAGUUAGUUGAAAUAACACUCGAAGUCGCUGCACAAAAACUUUUGCUCAGAAAUUAUGUUGAUGAUACUACGGGUCUGUCCAAUACGACACGUACACAGCUCGUACUCGCUAAAGGAGAA